CUGGAACACUCCACAAUCAGAGAGUGUGUCCACAUUCUGAUCCCGUGACCUGUGGAUGUGUGGCCUUAACCAGCAGAGGGACUCUGCGGAUCCUGCGGGUCUGCAGCCUUAGAGUCACCCAACACCCAAUGCUCUGCACCAGCCAAGGCAGCUACACUCAAGCCUGUGACCAAUGCACCCAAACUGUCCCGCUUUGUGCUGAAGAGUGACCGCGUCCCACAUAAACUGAUGCUGAGGAAGCUGAGGCUCUGGGACAAGCAUCAGGACCAGAACUGGACUGGUGGUUUCCUCCCUCCCCUCCUCUGGCACCAUUUCGCCUGUGUGUUUGCCCAGAACCUUCGGAGAAGCAUGGCCCCCUUAGUAUAUAGCCCUCACAGCAGCUCUUUCUUUCCCACCAGGAGGUGGAACCACACCUGGGGGGUGGAUGCUGCAGGGAACAGUCCAGGUUUACUUUGGCUGCGGACCAGCGAGGAGGAGGGUCCUUCCAGCACCUCGACCUUGCCAAGUUCCUGAGCUGGCACAUGGGCAGCAGGGGGGCGAGCUGGUCUGGUCCAAGGAGGCCAACAUCAAGGGGAGUGUGCCACACAGAUCAAACAGCCCCCGAGAAGCGGCUGAGGAAGGGCCGAUCCCCAGCUCCCCUCUGGAGUCUCUCUGGCCAUUGUCAAGACACGUCAGCGCCCCAUCCGUCCCCACGACCAAGGACCACGCGGUGACUCCUUCCCUCUCGGAAUUCUUUUGUUCGGCACUGAACAAAUAAACUGCAGGUUGUAUAGGAA